UUUCUGACAAGACCCGACUGGCAACACUGCAAAUAAUCACUAGUGGUCAUACGCCAACGUCACUCGCCCGAAGCCAUAAAAAAGAAAACAAAAACUUCCGGUUCCGGAAGAAAAAACAGCCAAGUGUUUUGCACUUUUGCAGCAUACUCUCUAAUCUGUGUUUUGCAGUGCACAAAAUCAGUGGUAGAACGUAGAACCUACAAGUUUUUUUGUUUUGCACGCUGUUUUAUUUAAUAAACGCUUCUGUUGUGCGAAUUGGACGCGUGACGUGCUGAAGAUUAAAGACUUUGCAUAAUGGAAUCAAAAAAAUUUUUUUUGGUUACAUUUUUAGAUGAAGAUGAUGCUCCUGGCAUAGUUUCAUCAAAGUGGUUAAGAUACCAACACUUGUUAUUACCCUAAUGUAUGCACUGAAGAAAUCAAAAACAAACUUGAAGAAGAUGCCUGCACCUGAAGCAACAUGGUCACAAUAUCAAAUAAAAAUACUUAAAAGUUAUGAAACUUAUGGCGAAGCACGAUUACAUUUAAAAAAAGCGGAAGAAACCUGAAAUUUGGACUCAGACGAAGCAGAAAAUGAUGUUACAAAUGAAGUGACAGUGGACAUAAUGUCUGCUGUAAAUUACCCAGUCACCUCCGGUUCUAAAGAGGCCAAGCAAACACAACUCAAAGCUGUUAACUGCCGAUCAGGUAACAGGUUUUUAUAACAUGCAAUGAGCUUCUCUCGUCAAAGAUGCAAUGCGACAAAAUUUCAUAUUUUCACUUGUUUUAGUUAUGACUUUUCCAUGUUUUUUUAUUUGUUACAGAGUGCAUUACAAACAAGCAAUAUGCUAUACAGCAGAGUCAUAUGAUUCAGAUUGUGUCAGACCUAGCUAACCAAAUGGCUGAAAUCAAUAGAAAAUUGGAUUUACCGUUAGCUAGGUCCGAAGAAACAUUUUCACCAACAGAUGACAAUGCAGGUCUUUCAGAACUUUUGGCAAGUCUACCAGUAAAGAUAUUGCAAGUUUUAAUAAUUUCGAUGACAAUUUAAAAAUAAACAAGAAUACAGGCAAUAGUAUGUAUAAAUUAAAUACUUAAACACAGGGCAAAUUUUAUUAUUCUAUGAAAACAUUCUAAUGCUACUUUAAUUAAAUUUCAGAUGUCAUUUUUGUCUGGUAUUGGCGGCAGAAAUGUAAGAAGCCUUACGACUAAUUUGUUGAGACGAAUAAUUCUAGAUGAUGUAGCCGAGUUGUAUUCGUUAACUGGGAAACAGAUGAAAAAUUCGAAUAAAAAGUCAUUUAUGAGUACAGAAACCUAUAAAUUAAUCUUUCAAAUAUGUAGAAAAAUCAACGAAGAUGUAACUGAAGACAGUCUAAAAGAAAUUAUAAGUGAUUGGCUAAAUCAAGCUAAAGUUAGACUUUCAAGAAGAGCAGAAACACAAAAUAAAGAAAUAAACCAAUAGCGGCGACCAUGAAACCGAUUUUUUCUCAUUUAAAGUAAGAUA